GAUGAACGCUGGCGGCGUGCCUAAUACAUGCAAGUCGAGCGAACAGACGAGGAGCUUGCUCCUCUGACGUUAGCGGCGGACGGGUGAGUAACACGUGGAUAACCUACCUAUAAGACUGGGAUAACUUCGGGAAACCGGAGCUAAUACCGGAUAAUAUAUUGAACCGCAUGGUUCAAUAGUGAAAGACGGUUUUGCUGUCACUUAUAGAUGGAUCCGCGCCGCAUUAGCUAGUUGGUAAGGUAACGGCUUACCAAGGCAACGAUGCGUAGCCGACCUGAGAGGGUGAUCGGCCACACUGGAACUGAGACACGGUCCAGACUCCUACGGGAGGCAGCAGUAGGGAAUCUUCCGCAAUGGGCGAAAGCCUGACGGAGCAACGCCGCGUGAGUGAUGAAGGUCUUCGGAUCGUAAAACUCUGUUAUUAGGGAAGAACAAAUGUGUAAGUAACUAUGUACGUCUUGACGGUACCUAAUCAGAAAGCCACGGCUAACUACGUG
rnacentral:rRNA from 1 species